rnacentral:tRNA from 1 species
GAUAGAGUCAGCUAAUAAAGCUUUCGGGCCCAUACCCCGGACAUGACGGUUAGACCCCUUCCUCCAUCA